UACGGGGGGGGUAAGCGUUGUUCGGAAUUACUGGGCGUAAAGGGCUCGUAGGCGGCCAACUAAGUCAGACGUGAAAUCCCUCAGCUUAACUGGGGAACUGCGUCUGAUACUGGAUGGCUUGGAUUCGGGAGAGGAAUGCGGAAUUCCAGGUGUAGCGGUGAAAUGCGUAGAUAUCAGGAAGAACACCCGUGGCGAAGGCGGUUCUCUGGGACGGUACUGACGCUGAGACGCGAAAGCGUGGGGAGCGAACAGG
rnacentral:rRNA from 1 species